GCCGGGGUGCCCGAGCGGUUCAAGGGGGUGGGCUCGAGACCCACUGCCCCCUACGGGGCACCGGGGUUCGAAUCCCCGCCCCGGCGCCA
rnacentral:tRNA from 2 species